UCACCAUCUCCCAGGCCUUCUUUAUCCCGUUUAGCUUCUCUUAAGAAGAAAAGUGGCAAAGAAAAUGUGCCCCCCGAUUCAGCUAAUAUGGAUCAAGUUAUAAUGCAAACAUUGGACUUCACUCCUCAUAGCUCUGAUAGAAUUGAUUCCAGGCUGCCUAAACCUAGAUCAAUUCUUAAAUCCCAAGCUUGGCACUCUAAGUCCUGUUCUCAGAAGAGGUCUUCUCCUGAUGUUCAAAUUCUUGGUGAACCAUCUCUAGAAGAGGAUGUGCUGAAUAUGUCCAGAAAAGCAGAACAAUUGUAUAAUUCUAAUUUACAAGUGUCUGCUAAAACUCCUAAUCCAGUGACUGCUGUUGGAAUUUGUGCUUCUG